rnacentral:lncRNA from 1 species
GGACACGCUCGCCUCCCACCAGCCCCCAGGCCCACGCCCCCCAGGUACCUCUCUCAGAUGGAAUCCUCUUCGCAGGCGCCCUGGUCCUCCGUGUCCGGCGAGCAGGAAGAGCGGGAGCUGAAGGACGGCCUCCUCAGGCUAGCGGCCGUGGCUGUGGAGGGCCCGGGCUGCUGUGCCCAGCGGGGACGCGGAGCGGCGUCCACGGACGCCGGGGGAACGGACGAGCCCGGCCCGGGAGAGAGCAGCACAGCGCGGCCGGACUCCGCCGGGCUCGGCUCUGGGCAGGCAGGCGCGGCUCGCCGACGCCUCCCACGCCUCCCAGGACGGCGGCCCAGCAGCCGCGCGCUCCUCUCCUCUCCUCUCCUCGCGCGCGCGCGCCGCCGCCCAGACGCUGCCCGGCCGUUGCCCCGCCCCCCCCUCCGGCGGUGGACUGCGGACAGCGACGGGGACACCCUCCUGGGAGAACUCCUGCGGCCCCGCCCACACGCUUCGGACCUUCGCGCAGCGGGAAGGUGCGCUGACAGGGACGCAGGGUCCCCGCUACGCUCGCUCUCGGGGAACUGCAGCCUCCUCCCUCGGCUUUCACUUGAAUGUCAGACCCGAAACCAUGCAACGUCUACAAGCAAACAUAGGCAGUGUGCUCUUUGACAUCAGUCUUAGCAGCCUAUUUUCAAGUACCACGUCUGACUGGGCAAGGGAAACAAAAUACAAAAUGAACAAACGGGACUACAUCAAAGUCAAAAAACAUCCUCUGCACCGCAAAGGAAACCAUCCACAAAACCAAAACACAACCUAACAACUGGGAGAAGAUUCUUGCAAACCGUAUAUCGGAUAAGGGGUUAAUAUCCAAAACACAGAAAGAACUCAUACAUCUCAACAGCAAAAAAAAUCAACAACCCAAUUGAAAAGGCGGGCAAAAGAUCUGAGCAGUGAUUUCUCCAAAGAAGCAGCCUAUUUUCAAGUACCACGUCUGACUGGGCAAGGGAAACAAAAUACAAAAUGAACAAACGGGACUACAUCAAAGUCAAAAAACAUCCUCUGCACCGCAAAGGAAACCAUCCACAAAACCAAAACACAACCUAACAACUGGGAGAAGAUUCUUGCAAACCGUAUAUCGGAUAAGGGGUUAAUAUCCAAAACACAGAAAGAACUCAUACAUCUCAACAGCAAAAAAAAUCAACAACCCAAUUGAAAAGGCGGGCAAAAGAUCUGAGCAGUGAUUUCUCCAAAGAAGGUAUACGGAUGGCCAACAGGCAUAUGGAAAGGGACUCAACAUCCUUAGCGAUCAGAGAAAUGCAAAUCACAACUACAAGGAGAUGUCACCUUACUCUGGUCAGAAUGGCUCUAAUUAACAAGACAAGAGACAAGUGUCGGAGAGGAUGUGCAGAGAAGGGAACUCUCCUGCACUGCUGGUGGGAGGGCAGACUGGUGCAGCCACUAUGGAAAGCAGUAUGGAGUAUCCUCAGAAAACUAAGAACACAUCUACCAUAUGUAGGAUCCAGCUAGCCCACUGCUGGCUAUUCAUCCAAAGAACUUGAAAACACCAAUGCAGAAAGACACAUGCACCCCUGGGUUCACUGCAGCAUUAUUCACAACAGCCAAAACUUGGAAGCAACCUAGGUGCCCAUCAAGGGAAGAAUGGAUAAAGAAGAUGUGGUAUGUAUACACAAUGGAAUGCCACUCGGCCCUAAGAAAUGAUGAGAUCCGCCCAUUUGUGACAACUUCGAUGGACCUUGAGGGUAUUAUGUGAAGUGAAAUAAAUCAGAGGGACAAAGUCAAACACCGUGUGAUCUCACUCAUAAGGAGAAGAUAAAAACAACGAC